CACAAUACAUUGAGAGAAAAUAAGAAGUUGAAUUACAAGAGAGAAUAGUUAAAAAUCACUUUUUAAUAACCUUAUGUGUUUAUUUACAAAAAUUUAUGAAAUUAUACCUGAGUAGAAUCUUUGAUCUUUGGAAAGACCUGCAUCAGGAAAAUAAUCAUUUUAGUUUUAUGUUUGACAAUGGAGAAUGUCACAGCAAUUCAAUCCAAUAGAAGAAUCAAUCUUUC
rnacentral:lncRNA from 1 species